rnacentral:rRNA from 1 species
AAAUUGAAGAGUUUGAUCAUGGCUCAGAUUGAACGCUGGCGGCAGGCCUAACACAUGCAAGUCGAGCGGAAACGACAACAUUGAAUCUUCGGAGGAUUUGUUGGGCGUCGAGCGGCGGACGGGUGAGUAAUGCCUAGGAAAUUGCCUUGAUGUGGGGGAUAACCAUUGGAAACGAUGGCUAAUACCGCAUAAUGCCUACGGGC